CAUUAAAUGACUGAAAGCAAGUAAUGGUCUCUUAAACCAUUUAAUAGUAAAUAGCGAUUACUUUUAAUGA
rnacentral:tRNA from 1 species